rfam:Schistosoma rodhaini strain Burundi genome assembly, scaffold: SROB_scaffold0017121
AUCCAGCUGACGAGCCCCAAAUGGGACGAAACGCGCGUUCUGGAU